rnacentral:lncRNA from 1 species
GAAGAGUUUCAACGGGAAGGGAAAGGUGUGGGGAGUCGCUUCCUUACUUUAUAACUCUCAAGUGUGGUCAGAAGACACGUGUUAAAGGGUCUCGUGGGGAUAACGUGCGAAUGGGGGAAAUCUGCACGCACUCUUCAAACACACACCUCGCCAUGUUAUUCUCUUCUUGUUCACCAUCGCUUCGAGGGGCUUCUUCCCUCCCUUUUCUUUUUGGUUCAGACCAGUUUUCCGAACUUGGUUCUCCAGCUGUUUUUGAACUACGACUCCCAUCGUCGCCAGCUAGCAGGGCCGGUGGUGAGGGAUGAUGGGAAUUGUAGUCCAACCCCCCCCCCCACAACAACAGCUGGAGACUCAAGUUUGAGAAACCCUGGUUUAAACUCCAGAGAAUCCCUUUGGUUUCUCGAAAUCUGCCACUAGAUGGUGCUGCUCUGGUGUGCCAUGUAGGAGUUUACUUAAUGAAUUUGCGCAGUGUGUUAAUUUAUGCAGAAUUUUAAGGAAAUGAGAAUGAGCUUUUGGAAAAAAUAAGGUACAGUACCUUAAAGAGCAAAGCCUGUCUCCAGAGGUCAACUGCCAAUCACUUAUGCUUCUAUAGUUUAGGCUUAUAAUGCUUUGCAUUAAUACUUUGCAUUAAUCAGGUUAUAGUUUCACCUACACAGGUAUCUGCUUUGUAUGGGAUUCAUUGAUUCCAAAACUGCCUAGCUCCUAUGCUUACUCUGUAAUACCCUAAAAGCAUAUUCAGCCUUAUGACACUACUACCCCUUUCCUUCAGGUUAGAGGUUGAUGCCUUACUCUGAUUUCUGUCAACAUGGGAAGUGGAAUCUGGAAAGGUACAGAACAAGGAUUUCUCCAUGGUGUUUUAGCUUUGAGCUCGUUUCUGAAAGAAACCCCAUGAGGUCUCACCAUGCCAUCUCUUAGGAGUAUUUAAACAUUUUUAUUUGAACAAAGGUUUUAUGGGAUAAUCGCUGGAUAAUUCUGCACUCCUGCUGUUGCUUGCACCUGUAAUUGGAAUGAUGCUUAGAAAUGUUGCAUAAUUUGAGAUGAACAUCAGAGGAUGGCGGGGCUUUUUUAAAAAAAGACUCAGAUGUGAUAUAUUAUAGACAAUUCUUCCAUAGAUGCCAAGCCAAAGAAGAAUGGGAAGGGACUCUAUGUUGCCCUAUUCUCAUUUCCUUCUGUACCUGGUCAAUUCCUGAUGACAUAACAAUAGAAUGACGGAAAAAGUGGCAUAAAACACAGCCCUUCUGAAAGUGCUCAGUCUUGUUUAGCCACUUCAGACAAAAGGGAAUAUGAAAGGGGAAAACAUGAUAUAAAGAUUAAAUCUUCAGUCAUUUUAUUUGUUAUUUCAGUUCUUAUGAGAUCCUCUAAUGUGCGUCAGAAUUAUCCCCAUAUUACAGAUAUGGGGAGUGAUGAGGAUGGCUUCUUUUAAAGCCAUCCCUUAAAGUUAAGUGAUGAGCUUGAAAUCUGAAUUGUUGGGGUAGGGAGAACUCUGGGUUUUAGGCCCGUGCUGUUAACUACCAUAGUAUGUUAGCUAUUUGAUACUUAGGCAAGAGGAGUCAUGCCUUGAUACAUCAUAUUUAAAUAACCAUUAAUUUCCAUAUAACACAUCUCUAGCGCUUUCAUCAUUCUGUUUAUUUAGCACAAUCAGUAAGCACCAUGCUUUACAGAAUACUGCAUGCAGUUGCUUCAGUUACAUAUCCGUAGGCUUAGUUUCAGUUCAUUAGGCAAAUAUUCUGUACAUCGCUUUUAAAGUCAAUCUAAUUUCAGCUUUUAAACAACUACCCUGAUGUGAGUGGUAGCUUUUUCCACCAAAUGUAUUUACGCAGUUGUUCAGUUUAAUUUUAUUUCUCUCUUUGCCCAUCUCAGGCGUUGAUGCUGGACCUAUGAAGGGCUGCUCAUGAUCAGAACUGCAGAACAUCCCUCCCAGCGGCUCAGCAAGCUACCAUUUAUUUUUAAUUGCUCCCCACAGUGGAGGCCAAUUAAGGAUGAAGACAGCAGGGUAAGGAUCACUCACAAACCCUUUGAAGGGCACAGACUAAGCAUUUGCUUUGCCGGAAGGCUGCCAUUAACACAUUUCAUUUGUGCAAGAAUGCAAACACUUGGACACGCACUCUGUAGUAUUAAAUGCAGUACAGUUCUAAUUCAACUAAGUUUUAGUGCAGAUGGCAACCGAAGUGACAGAAUAUCACCCCUAGGUUAUAAACUUUGAAAAUUAGAUUUAUUUUCUUUAUCUCUCCCUCUUUCAGCAGGAAGCACCUGCUUUAGACACUCUAAUAAGACUCUCUGUCUCUCUCUCCCUCUCCCUCUCCAUAUAAAUACUAGGUUUUCAGAUUAAAAUUAUAGCAGGAAAUUAGCAUUAGUUCUCCUUACUGUUUGUUUUUGUUUUUAUGGUAAAGAAAGGAUUUCCUUGUCAUUGAAAUUUUAAUGAAUUGAGGAUUUUUACAAAAUAUUCUAGGUAUUUAUGGACUGCCUGUCAAUAAAAUUCUCAGUGUCAUUUACUAUAAAAUUUUGAGAAAAUAUCAAUUUUCCUAAAAUAACGAUACAACAGUGGUUUGCAGCCACUUUAGGUUUAAAUGGGGAACUAUGUGGUAUGUACAUAUAGUAGCAAGUAUAUAUAGUAUGUAUAUAUAUAGUAGGGAAAUAUAUAGUAUGUUGAAAUGUAGAUUUAUUCUGGUUGUGAUUAAUUUUCUUUUAAAAUCCAUUUACACAGGGAGAGUUUGAAUACAUUAAACUAUUACUGAUUACUCAGUGAAUAGAUUAAACCACAAGGAGUUUCAAAGAGCUUGUGUCUUUUAAACUUCAUGAGUACACAGCAGGAAUUUUGAAACUUUUGUUGCAGAGAAGCUAAAUUUAGUUUCAAUUUAUUCACUUCACACUCAAGCUUUUCCAUCUCUGCACAGCUAUUCAUGUGUGGCUUUGUGCAGUAGUAUAAAUAUAGGUUAGAGUGAACCUCCUGUAUUUUAAUUUUCCCUAAAAAAUAGUACAUGCUGUUUGGUUGUGAUGUUCUUUAAAAUAAAUUACACUCUUUUCUACCCAGAU